rnacentral:rRNA from 1 species
UACGAGGGGGGCUAGCGUUGCUCGGAAUCACUGGGCGUAAAGGGUGCGUAGGCGGGUCUUUUAAGUCAGGGGUGAAAUCCUGGAGCUCAACUCCAGAACUGCCUUUGAUACUGAAGAUCUUGAGUUCGGGAGAGGUGAGUGGAACUGCGAGUGUAGAGGUGAAAUUCGUAGAUAUUCGCAAGAACACCAGUGGCGAAGGCGGCUCACUGGCCCGAUACUGACGCUGAGGCACGAAAGCGUGGGGAGCAAACAGGG